rfam:Enterococcus saccharolyticus ATCC 43076 genomic scaffold acpML-supercont1.2, whole genome shotgun sequence.
UACUAUUUUUUGGGCAAUGGGAAUAUUGUGAAGCGUGUCAGAUCUGGAAGGAAGCAGCACUAAGCAGUGAUUCUCAUGUGCCCGUACAUAGAACAA